rnacentral:rRNA from 1 species
AGGCUUAUGGUUGUCAAGCACAUAAGCCGAUAGAGGAUGCUGACACUAUAAUACCUAGGAUAAAUGGACAUAACUGCGCCAGAAUAAUCACCGGACUAACUCUGCGCCAGCAGCCGCGGUAAUACAGAGGGUGCAAGCGUUAAUCGGAUUUACUGGGCGUAAAGCGCGCGUAGGCGGCCAAUUAAGUCAAAUGUGAAAUCCCCGAGCUUAACUUGGGAAUUGCAUUCGAUACUGGUUGGCUAGAGUGUGGGAGAGGAUGGUAGAAUUCCAGGUGUAGCGGUGAAAUGCGUAGAGAUCUGGAGGAAUACCGAUGGCGAAGGCAGCCAUCUGGCCUAACACUGACGCUGAGGUGCGAAAGCAUGGGGAGCAAACAGGAUUAGAUACCCUGGUAGUCCAUGCCGUAAACGAUGUCUACUAGCCGUUGGGGCCUUUGAGGCUUUAGUGGCGCAGCUAACGCGAUAAGUAGACCGCCUGGGGAGUACGGUCGCAAGACUAAAACUCAAAUGAAUUGACGGGGGCCCGCACAAGCGGUGGAGCAUGUGGUUUAAUUCGAUGCAACGCGAAGAAACUUACCUGGCC